rnacentral:rRNA from 1 species
CUACGGGGGGCAGCAGUGGGGAAUAUUGGACAAUGGGGGCAACCCUGAUCCAGCCAUGCCGCGUGUGUGAACAAGGCCCUCGGGUUGUAAAGCACUUUCAGUGAGGAAGAACGCCUGGUGGUUAAUACCCAUCAGGAAAGACAUCACUCACAGAAGAAGCACCGGCUAACUCCGUGCCAGCAGCCGCGGUAAUACGGAGGGUGCGAGCGUUAAUCGGAAUUACUGGGCGUAAAGCGCGCGUAGGUGGCUUGAUAAGCCGGUUGUGAAAGCCCCGGGCUCAACCUGGGAACGGCAUCCGGAACUGUCAAGCUAGAGUGCAGGAGAGGAAGGUAGAAUUCCCGGUGUAGCGGUGAAAUGCGUAGAGAUCGGGAGGAAUACCAGUGGCGAAGGCGGCCUUCUGGACUGACACUGACACUGAGGUGCGAAAGCGUGGGUAGCAAACAGGAUUAGAUACCCGUGUAGUC